rnacentral:sRNA from 1 species
GCUGUGUGCAGUGGCACACGCCUGUAAUCCCAGCAGCUUGGGAGGCUGAGGCAGGAGGAUCUCGAGUUCAGAGCCAGUCUCAACAAUUUAGUGAGACCCUAAGCAACUCAGUGAGACCCUGUCUCU